AAUUAUUACCAAGUUACUGGUCACUGGCAAAUGAGUUGUUACUUCCUCGUUUCAAAUUAUAAGGCGCAUUUUGUUUUGUUAGGAUGAGACUUUCACUAACAACUAGCCACCCAGUCACGCUUCGCGUGACUCUGAGCGCUGUAUAGGAGUUGACGACCGAUCUUGAUAAUUACGGAAUAAUUUCUAUGAGACUAUUCUCUCUGUUCUCAAAUAUAAGGAUUUCUAUAUUGUUUAACAAAGAUUAUGUUUGAUCAUAUAAAACUUUAUAUCCCUUUACCGAGGAAUGAUAGGAGUUUAGAAAAAAGUUGAGAGUAGGAUAAAAAAAAUUGAAUGGAAAGUGAGAUUGAAGGUAAGUUAAUCUAUAAAUCCUUAUAUUUUUGAAUAAAUUAUAAAUAUUUGUGAUGCUUAUAUUUGCAGAUAGAGAGUAGCUACCUUUAUGCUUUUUUGAAGGGAUUAAGGAGAGGGCAAUAAAAUUAAAUGCGAGGGUUGUGUUUUAUUUUUAUUUUUGAUAGAAAGUGUGAAGGUUAUGGUUGAUUGAGAUAAAGAAGUAUAUGAAGAAAUUAAAAAGAUAAUGGUUGUAGUUAAUUGAGAUGAAGGAAUAUGUAAAGUAGGAUAAAUUUUAUAUACUGUCGCUGCGGGUGAAUGAGACGAGCUGCUGGUGUUCUCCAUCUGAAACUAUCUGUAUAUGCACCGGUGUGCACCGAUGGAUGCACAGGAGCUAUUCAUCUGGAACUUUCCUGAUGUGUGAUUGGUAUACACAAAUGGAUCCAACGGUCCAAUUUUAUUCCUCCUCUCAUCCUAAGGCUAUUAUUCUUCACAUGACGUGGCUUAUUGGUUUUAGAAAGCUUGUUGCUUUCACAUAUGUAGAUUACUAUAUUAUGAUAUCAUUUAAAUGAUACAAAAGCAUAAUAAUAAUUAAAUACUUUUGAAUACAAAUCUAAUAAUAAAUAUAAUUGUAUCAUUAAAAUUAUAUCGUAAUAGAAUAAUUGUUGGUCAAAGCCUAUCGUAAGAAACAAAAUAUGUCUUUUAUUUUAAAACGGCGAGAUUAAUACUUUAGUAUUAGCAAUUAUUACUUAACAUUAAUUAAAUAUGGGCUAGUAGCUUUUGGAGAAGUUUUAUCUGUCAUGGUAUACUAUUUUUUCAGAGAAGGGUAAUUUUUACCCGGCCUUUAUUUCCAACCGGAUAUAUGCAGCCUUUUAAAUUUGGAACUUAUCCCCUCAAACAAGCCAAUAUAAAAUUCACUCUUACAAAGAUUUGAACUCAGGACCUUAGGGUGUUACUCAGGGCACUGCAAUCACUUGGCUACAUCAUGGUAUAUGAUGGUCAAUAUGCUUUUUUAUAUGUUUGGUGAACUAUUGUAAUAUAGAACUAGUGCCAAAUUUUGAUAUAGAUAAAACAAGAAAACAUGUUUUUUUGUUUGAAAAACAGUUGGUAGUGGCAUUGAACUUACAUUUUAGUGACCCCAAUUUCAUGGCAAUAUGUACAUCUUUCUAGCUUGAGAUCAACCUUCCGUUCAAGUUUCUUUCCAUCCUCUACAGAAUGUGUUUGGCGUGAUCAAAUGUACUUAGUACUUUUUUUUGGUAAAAGGAUAUGCAGAAAAAGAAUUGAGAUUACAGAGCUACCAAACCUGAGACAACUCCAAUAGUUAGGAAGGGCUUCACAAUGUUAAACCCAUAUAUGACUAACUCUCCUGACCCUGGGGCUACCUGCGCCCAUAGAAAAAUUGGAUGCAAUAAGGUAACAUGAAAUAGAAUUAAUGUACAAAUCAAAUAAUUAUAAUUAAGCAUCCCAACGUUUCCCAUGGUCACUCAUAUUCUUAGCACAAGCAUACAUUUUAUGCUAGAUGUUGGCCUAACAUAUUAAAUACUCCAAGAACUGCUGAAUUUAGCAUUAAUAAAAUGGUAAAAGGUGACAAAACUAUAAGCCAGUUCUUUACCAUGUUUGUCAAGGUAGGUCAAUCUGUGAAUGGCACUUUUCAAGAAAAAACAAGUGCUGCACUAUUGACCUUUUUUCCACUAGUUGAUAAGCUUAAAUUAUCUCUCUACCUUUUUUUUCAAAUUUCUUUCUCUCCUGCUCUUAAGAUAGUAAUGUGCUUGUAAAUUUCAUCAAAAUGGAAGACAAACAGAUGUUGAGACUUAUAGCCAAAAGCAACGCAAAACAAAACUGAAAAGAGAUAGUAGAAGGCAAGUCUUCUGUAGAAAAUGCUGGUGAAUAUGGAACAAUUAACCAAGAAUAAAACAAACUGAUACAUAAUCUUCAUGUAUUCAGAUUCACAUGUUUAAGAGGCAGAGAGGCAUAUGCAGAGGGACCAACCUUGGGGUGUGCUGUGAAUGGCAUGUUCCACUGACCAUCGACGACCCAGCUACACAGUGUGCCAAGAUUGUCCAAGUCAAUCUCGUAGGGAAUGUCAUUCUCUGCCACUGAGAAAACCCUCUCGGCGUGCUCAAACACACCGGUAUUACUCAUGUUUCUAAACACCUUGCCAAACCUCAGCUACAGCAAGAUAUGCAAUUAAUGAUCAGUGUCACUUGAACACUACGUAACUACGGUGCCUUAGCAUAUGACACUAGAACAGAAGAAAAUGCUAUUAUCAAAUCUUUAUGACCCAGAGGGUACUAUGGUUCACUAGAGAUGUGUGGUAGUGGAUCAAGGGCGAAAAUCAAAGAGGACAAAAUUGAAAUUGUGAAGUUGCAAAUGUUUGUCAACAUAGAAAAUACUCCGUGUUUGUUUUUAUAAGACCUGUAAUUUUUUCAAUCUUCCUGCAAAAUUGAAGUCUUGCACCAUGAGUUUGUUGAAUAUGUUCAAUGUUUGGACAUGGAUAUUACAUGGCCUCUCUCCUGCAUUUAUCAGAAGAAUCUCACUAACCAUGUCACUUCAGCUAUCUAUAAGAAGUAUGAGAAGCAUGGAAGUUUUAACUCAUACUCCCUGUGGCAUCCCUAUUUUCAAAACAGAAAUCAACAUUUGAAAAUAUUUUUCUUAUGAUGUCAACUCCGUCCAUACUUGUUUGUAAUAUAUUAUGAAAGAAGCCAAUGGUAAAACUAUAAUAUUGUAUACCGUGUAGCAAACUAAUAUGUAUUACUUCCUCCGUUCUAAAAUAUGGGAUAUUCUUGUUUUCCAUAAAGUCAACAAUUAAAAUUUUGACUAAUUAUUGAGCUAACAAUUAAUAUAUCUGUAUUGUGUCAUGCAUAUAGUGCCAUUAGAUUUGUAUUUGAAUGUAUUUUCAUCCGAUGUUAAUUUUGUUACUAUUAAUAAUAUAUUAUAAACAAAAUUAGUAGUUGAAGAAUAAGAAUAAGGCUGGAGACCGUGUAAAAGGCUGUUACACAUAAUAUUUUCAAAUAGAGGGAGUUUCUCUUUAUUGUAAACUCUAUAUUCAUUCUAGCUACUUAAAGUAAUAAUUAUAUUUUGAUAGAGACAAGAGUAGUAAAAAGUUCCUUGCCGACAAAAACAGAGGGUGCAAGUUAUUUACAAACCAUGUUCAAAAUGCUGGCUGCGAUUAUGGCAAGAGGGUCACCCUUGAUUGCUGAGAGGAAGCAUGGUCUCUGACGAUCCCUUUCAGUAUUAAAAGUGUCAGAUUGCACGUAGCGGUUGUUGUAUGAGACUGACCAAGUGUUUCCUUCUCUGCUCUUGGUGAAGUAGAGGGCAUGCAGCAUGCCUUCUCCCUCGACCCAGAUGUCUUCAGACUGGCCGAAGAUUGAGUUCACCUUGUGCAAGGCUCCAAAGAGAGGGUUGGAACCUGCAUUAUAUUGGUUGAGUUUUAAUCUAUUCAGAACUAGAGCAAAUUAAGAUCAAACUUUGCGAACCUAAUAAUAGCAUUGUGAAAAGUAAUACUGUGAACUAGCAUCUGAGCACAUAACUGACGUAGCACAAAAGUCAAGAGUUAAGGGCUUAAACUACAAUAGUUUUCGCUAGCUUGCUAGUUGCUAAUGAAAGAUUGAAAGAAAAUUACCAUUUCUGAUAUAAACACCCUCAGGAAAAUCAUCUGAGAUCGUCCCUUCUAUCCUCCAUAUCUCUGUUCUUCCACCGAUUUCAUCAACUGGUGCGAAAUUGCUCUGCUCAUGGAUAGAUCCAUCAUAUAAAUUAGCACUUGCAAUUCAGCCAUUUUUCCGAUAGUCCAAACUACACCCCUUAACUAUUGGAUUUGUCUAAUAAUAUAAGAAACAUCCAUUAACUACAAAAUCAGAUAUUUUAUAACCCCUAGGCCUUCAACUAUUAAAACAAGUCAAAAUUCAACCAUAAAUGUAAUGAUAUUAUACACCCAGUUUUAGUAGCGGUUUUCAUGAUUUUCACAACAAAAUAUAUAUUUUUUGACUUAUAUUAAACCACUUUCUACCUAUCUGUCUAACUUGGUUUUUUUAUCGUACUAUUUGGAUUUCAAAUCAUGAAUAUUACCAUUAAAAUCAGGUUGUAUUCUAUUUCAUCCGGUUAUGGUAAUGGAAAGCUGUAAAAUAUCUAUUUUUUUAGUUGAUGGGUGGUUUUCUAAGAAACAGGGAGUUCAAAAGCAUGUGAUGAAAAUUAAUUGGAAUCUGAAGUGUUCUCCCCUCUACUAUACCUCUAAAUUAAAAAAAAAAGGUUCAAAACAAUUUAAUAUUAUGAUUUCUUUUUUCAGGCGGUGCUCUUCAGCAGCCAUCAGCGAAAAUUGGUUUCCAUCGAUGGGAAUAUAACAAACAUGCUUGUAAAAAUAGCCCUAUAUUUAUAAGUAGACCCCUUAAGUGACAGCCGGCGAUAAUCGAUUUUCAUUGGCGGUACCACUACUGCAGAUUUGAUUUUUUUUCUAUACAAAACCCACAAUAGGUUGUAGGCAGCCCAUAAGUGCUCCCGCAUGCAAAAACCACUCUCGUGGGGGCGAUUGAUGGGCAGCAUGGGAUAAUCCAGAUACUGUGAUUAUACGACAAUUCCACAACACCCCCAUUCUAGACGACCAUGCAAGGGUGCAGGUAGCUAAGGUCCACGCUGAACAUGUCACGUUCGAGCUAGACAUCCCUAAACCAGAGGGGAUCGAACUUUUGGGAGAUGCAAUGAACCAGUUUGUCUUGUGGCAUCAUCGAGACAUCAUCCUUGCCGGACAACCACCAUCUGCCCUAGCUCCAUCCCAACCAAUGACAGUUGCCGCUCUUGCACCGACCUCCCCGCUAGGAUCACCUUCCCCACAAGCUUCCUUGCCUCUAGUAAGGUCACCACACCAUCCACCAUCCCUACCAGUUUCGAUUCCUCCGGUAACGUCACCACAUCAUUCACGUUCUCCACCUACACCUUCUGCUCAAGUCCCUUGCCCUCCCCCUUCGCCACCUACCGAACAACCAUCUCCCAUUCACCAAUUAAUCUCCUCCUACACCACAAUUUGCUCUCGCCCAACAAGUCCCACCUCACCAAGUAAAUCAAUCUGGCCCCAUUUCUACUACCCUUGAACAUCGCAGGCUCAUACGAAAAUUGGUUUCCAUGUACGACCACAAGGAAAUGUCAAGAGAUAAAGAGAGGUUCCUGUUUUCAAUCUUCAGUGGGAGAGGUUGGGCAAAGAAGAAGAAAGAAGAUGUUGCUGAGCUGUAAAAUUCCUAGAAGUCAGUAGUAUGGGCCAAGGAUGAGUUGCAAUCUUGGCUAUCUGUAGAUGUGCCCCAAGAAUAUAAAUAUGACAAGUCAUUCUUACCAUGGUACAUUAUGAAUAAUCUACCACGACAGAUGAGGGUGAUGCAUGAAUGGUACCUCAAGGUAUCUAGAAAGGCCCUAAGCUUCAUUAGUGUCAAGGUCCCACGAGACGAUUUCAUGAGUAAAACCAAUGAGAUCUUUAUCAUCAAUUUCCGGGACCUACACGCCCUCUUCAAGCUCGAUAAGAUGGACAUCAAUCUCGUUGUUGCAUUUUGCGUGUAAGUGUUUUUACACUAGUUUGUUGUAAGUGAAAUGUGUGAAAGAAACUUCCUUUUCAAUCAAGCUGCAUUCCAUAGGUCACAGUUCUACGACACAGAAAGAGCGAGGCAACUCGUUGGCUAUAUCGAGCCAACAAGGAUUUGCAGGCCACACAACAAACUGUACAGCUUCUUGCUAAUAGCCCGGAACUAACAGAUAAGACACCGGAGGAACACAAGCAUAUAUCAAGAAAUUGCACAAGGAAGAAGAUUGAAGUAGCUUGCUACUUGGGAACCGCAAUUCUCAUGCACUGAGACAAAAACAUCAUAAUGGUCCCUUACGCUCUUAUAUAAGCAGCAUCUCUUCCAUUUGAUUAUUUUUUUUCUUGUAAUACAAGAUAACUAGCAAAUGUCAUCUCUAAUUCAUCUAUCUUGUUUGCAGGACCACUAUAUUUUAUUCCCGGUAUAUCCGAGGGACCACUUGGUCGUCGCGCUUGAUCUGGCACACUAUCCAAGAAAGCCUAUAUGGAGUUCCUCACUAUUUCGAAUUUCAACGUAGUAACAUACCACCUCAGUACCUAAUUGCCGUUCCGAAAUUUGAAAGUAACACAAAUAAAUGUUUUAUCGGCACAGAGCACGUAAAUUUUAUGUCAAACAUCACAGGCCAGUAAAGGAUGUGCAGAGGAAAAAGCUUCAUGUGAAGACGGACUGGCCGGUAUGUAAUGGCGUGUGCCAUGCACACAAAUUGUUGUAAUCAUUACUAUUUUUAAACUGACUGGUGUUAUUAUCAUGUUUGUUGUGUUUCAAGCAACCCUAGGCACUAACCUAUGUGGAUAUUAAGUGUGCAAGAUGCUUAGGGUCAACAGGAGAUGCACAACAAACAACAAUAACGUAAGUCCGGAGAUUGUUCUCUACAUAGAUUAUUUAGUCACAUUUCAUUUCCUGACUUUCAUUGUCUUCGUUUUUUUUCACAGAUCCCUCAAAUAAUCCUUAUGUAGCAAACCGGUUCAACAAACAAACAAUUUCGAACAUAUGCGCUGACCUAUGCCACUUCAUAUGUCGUGACUGCUGCAAUGCAUUAGGGAAUCCUAUCUUACCAUAAAAUUAUAACCCACUAAAUCCUAAAUCUUAACAUACAAAGAUAUCACAACAUUAUACAAUAAUCUUACUAUAAAGUUAUAACCCACUAAAUUUAAAAACUUAACAUGUAAAGAUGGCACAUCAUCAUGCAAUAACAAGAUACAACAUCAUCAUCCACUAACAAUUAUUAUAUUUAAACAUCAUGCAAGCAUGCUAUAUUAUCUAUAAUUCUAUCAUUAAUUUUAUUUUAGAGUUUUAAAAUGCAAGCAUGUUAAAGCAUCAUCCCAUAUAUUUCACAUAAUAUUUUAAUAUAUCUCUUCAUCAUUUUUGUAAUAUCAUAUAUACCUAUAUAGUUCAUCCUUACUUAGUUAAUUAAUGUUAUUUCUCUCUUCUCUCAUUAAGUAAUAUCACCUCAGUUGUUUUUAGCCUUAGUUGAUUAAUCUACAGUCCAAACUAUCUCCCUCAUUUUUUUCUCUCAUAAAGCCACAUCACUUUACUUUUACAUUUAAAUCAUCAUUCUGUAUACUCCUUCCGUCCCAAAAUAUAAACAUUUUUGGGUCUCGACACGGUCUCCGAGAUACUACUUUGAUUAACAAUAUCUAUGGAAGUAAAAUGUUUUAAAUAAAAAGAGUUGCAUAUUAUGAUAGUUCAUUUAAUGAUAAAUAUAGUAACAUCAAAUUUAUAUGAUUAAUCUUUUUAGUUUUUUUGCUAUUAAUAGUCAAUAUUUAAAAAGUUUGACUUGGCACUAUUCUAAAAAUGUUUAUAUUUUGGGACAGAGGGAGUAUUAUUUAAAUUUAAAAUAUCAUAAACCCCAUCAACUUAUGUAAGUUUAUACUAUCUAGUCAUCUUACGCAUUAUUUUGACUCAUUGUUAUUAUAGUAAAUUCCCGUAGCAAUACCCGGGAUUCACCUAAUUUCUACGAUUAUCAGAGCGAACUGGGCAAAGAAGACAAAUUCAAGCCCCUGAAAGAGAGUAGGAGAAAGAACGUAUACUUAUAAUAAUUAUACACACAUAUAUAUGUACCUCGGUGGGACGCAAAGAUUGGUGACUGAAUGUGAAGGUGGAGUCCACAAACGCAUCCAGCAAUAGACUGGAAGCCAUGGUUACUGCCGCAGAUGCCUCCCCAAGUUUGGUGGUAAGCUGCUGCUGAAACUCCUUGAAAUGUGGCUGCAAGUAUAUAUAUCGACAACGCAAUUAAAAUAGGAUCAACAUUAGAGGAGGGGAGGUCGUUCUUACAUUGGAUGUGAUACAUUUGGUGAAAUGAUCAGUCGCAUUAGGCCUUGUGAUUGAUGGUCUUGGUGUUCCAGUAGUGCUGCUCCUUCUGCACAACCAUGGUUGGAGAGUGCCGCCAUACAUGGAUGGAGAUGCUGCGGCCACCAUAUUGAUCGUACGUACGUUGUGCGCUUCCUUGCUAUCUAAUUUGUGUGACAGCUACAACUAUUGUUUCAUCCACUCUAUUUGUCAGAGGAAUUCGGCAAGAGACGCUCACUUUUAUAGUAACCUAGUAGCUAAGUACUACCGUCGAGGCAUGAGGCAUCCAUGCAUGGGCGCAUGUGCCGUAUUUAAGACAGCUUUGCCCCAGUAAUCAAUUGUAUGGUAUUUUUAGGACUUAUAAAUUUGACCACGCGGUCUAUGAUAUUAUCACAUGUAUUUAUUAGAUAAAUUUUAUGCAUGCAUUCUUUCAUUUUAAAACAGUAUUUGAAAGUUUUUUUUUUUGAGAAGUAUUUGAAAAAUAUUAAUGGUUGAAAUUUCAUGAGUCCAUUAACUAAGCUUUGUGUAUGUCAGAUAUAUAUAUAGUUCGAUCGGAUAUACAGUGUGAUUUUGCAAUGCGAACAUGCAUGGUCCAUUGACUCAUGAUCGAGUUAAUCAAAGCAGCCACACAGUAAUGUUGACUUCGAUCUUGGAAGCCACAGUAGUGUUUUUGGUGUAGAAUCUGGCAUUAGUUCACCCUUCAGCAACCAAAUUUGACGAUCUAUGGAAUGAUUGUAUAUAAGACAACGCGCAGGGAGGCGGCGCCUACGUACGUAUGGCGACGACCAGGGCACACGUACGCUUAUAUAAUGUCACGCCCGGAAAUUCACUAGUAAUUUCCGAACUUAUUAGUGCAUAAAAUCCUCGUCCAGAAAUCAGCCGAGGUAUACAAACUGACAAUUUAAUAUACAAAUCCAUCAUAAUAAUAACGUUACACACUUACAAAAGAAAAGAAAACAGCAGCGGAAUAACGGUCUAGCGAUAGCUUCAGCUCCACUCCCACAGGCAGCUCAACUGGGGUAUAAGUCAAACGUCUUCUCCUUCUGGAUCCUUUUUCUUCAACUGAGGUUGAUUGAUUAUUGCAAGAAUGAGUAUAAGCCAAACGUCUUCUCCUUCUGGAUCCUUUUUCUUCAACUGAGGUUGAUUGAUUAUUGCAAGAAUGAGCAUAUGACAUACUCAACAAGCUACACAGCAAAUAUGCAAGUGCACAAGGAUACCAAAGGAUGGCAUAAUAUAGGCUCAUUUGCAAAAGCAGCAUUUAGCAAAACAUUUAAGAGAAGUAAAACAGUGGAGUAAUUAAUCAGAAAUUUUAAUCAACACUGAACAACACACCCAUGCUACACAGGCCCAACCAUCCUGAACAACCAUACCCGGCUGUACAGAUCUAACUCCAAACCAGGAGCUAAGCAAAUUAUUACCAGGUAUAACAUCCAUAAUAAUUGUGAGAGGUGUGAGACUAAUCACGAAAAACAUUGCUCAACCCGCCCAUAACCGCGGGUACGGCUAUUCGAAUAGUUUUACUCUGGCCAGAGGUGUACCACUGUACCCACAAGACACAGCCUCAACAUCAUGUCUACCAUGCGUCGCGAUACUGGAAAGUACCCGAAUAGAGGCUGUAACAAUACCCUCUGCACAACACAACUCACCACAGUGCACCAUUCCUGGAUCAUAAUUACCCCCUUAUAAAACAGGGCAUGGACUCCCCAGCGACCCCCGUGGGCUUAUCUCCGCCACUUCUCAGUCUGGUGCUCCGCAAUGAACUAUGCUAUACAAAAGGUAAAGCCGUUGCCCACGCUGGCUUGUGGUUGGCACGGUUAA
rnacentral:lncRNA from 1 species